rnacentral:ncRNA from 2 species
AUCGCGCGGUCAGGAGAGAGCGGGUGCGUAUGCGCCCUGCCGCCGAAGGCGCAGAGCAGCUGAUUGCAGCUGUUUGAACGCUCAGGCAAAAGGACUGACCAACGCCC